GGAAUGUGAACCUAAACGAGUAUCUGUCUGUUCUGUGGAAGUAGUGUGACUUCAUUUGGAUUUUCUUCAAGCAGGAUAUAGUGACAAAACCCAGUAAGUAGUAAAUGUACCUCCUACAAUGACAGAGCAAUAUGCGUGAUAUGGAUUAGCUACAGAUGUAUUCCUUUUGCUUUCCCAGGGUGAAGAAGGGGACCAAGGACCCAGUGGUGAAGUGGGAGCUCAAGGCCUUCCAGGCAUCCUAGGUGUCCGAGGUAUAACUGGUAUAAUGGGACCUAAAGGUACCAAAGGAGCUCGUGGGCUUGAUGGUGAGCCUGGACCCCAAGGUCUUCCUGGUGCACCUGGAGAUCAAGGACAGAGAGGUUUACUAGGAGAGGCAGGUCCGAAGGGAGAAAGGGUAAGCACAGGCGAAUUUUGUCUCAUGUUGACUUGCAAAUGUUGGUUACUUAUAGCAUCUGAACAUA
rnacentral:lncRNA from 1 species